AAAAGCACCGCUUCAAUUCCGCC
rnacentral:sRNA from 1 species